rnacentral:rRNA from 1 species
CCUACGGGAGGCAGCAGUAGGGAAUUUUCGGCAAUGGGGGGAACCCUGACCGAGCAACGCCGCGUGAACGAAGAAGUUAUUCGUAAUGUAAAGUUCUUUUAACAGGGAAGAAAGUGAAAUUUGACGGUACCUGAAGAAUAAGCUCCGGCUAACUACGUGCCAGCAGCCGCGGUAAUACGUAGGGAGCGAGCGUUAUCCGGAAUUAUUGGGCGUAAAGGGUGCGUAGAUGGCAUAGAAAGUCUUUUGUAAAAAGGCUGGGCUCAACCCAGUAGGGCAAAAGAUACUGCAAAGCUAGAGUAUGACAGAGGCAAGUGGAACUACAUGUGUAGCGGUAAAAUGCGUAAAUAUAUGUAAGAACACCAGUGGCGAAGGCGGCUUGCUGGGUCGAUACUGACAUUGAGGCACGAAAGCGUGGGGAGCGAACAGGAUUAGAUACCCUUGUAGUC